rnacentral:rRNA from 2 species
GCUAGGGGGCCAUCCCGGCUUACCAACCCGAUGCAAACUGCGAAUACCGGAGAAUGUUAUCACGGGAGACACACGGCGGGUGCUAACGUCCGUCGUGAAGAGGGAAACAACCCAGACCGCCAGCUAAGGUCCCAAAGUCAUGGUUAAGUGGGAAACGAUGUGGGAAGGCCCAGACAGCCAGGAUGUUGGCUUAGAAGCAGCCAUCAUUUAAAGAAAGCGUAAUAGCUCACUGGUCGAGUCGGCCUGCGCGGAAGAUGUAACGGGGCUAAACCAUGCACCGAAGCUGCGGCAGCGACGCUGAUGCGUUGUUGGGUAGGGGAGCGUUCUGUAAGCCUGCGAAGGUGGCCUGUGAGGGUUGCUGGAGGUAUCAGAAGUGCGAAUGCUGACAUAAGUAACGAUAAAGCGGGUGAAAAGCCCGCUCGCCGGAAGACCAAGGGUUCCUGUCCAACGUUAAUCGGGGCAGGGUGAGUCGACCCCUAAGGCGAGGCCGAAAGGCGUAGUCGAUGGGAAACGGGUUAAUAUUCCCGUACUUGGUGUUACUGCGAAGGGGGGACGGAGAAGGCUAUGUUGGCCGGGCGACGGUUGUCCCGGUUUAAGCGUGUAGGUGUGUGUUCCAGGUAAAUCCGGUUCACUUUAACACUGAGGCGUGAUGACGAGGCACUACGGUGCUGAAGCAACAAAUGCCCUGCUUCCAGGAAAAGCCUCUAAGCAUCAGGUAACAUCAAAUCGUACCCCAAACCGACACAGGUGGUCAGGUAGAGAAUACCAAGGCGCUUGAGAGAACUCGGGUGAAGGAACUAGGCAAAAUGGUGCCGUAACUUCGGGAGAAGGCACGCUGACACGUAGGUGAAGUGAUUUACUCAUGGAGCUGAAGUCAGUCGAAGAUACCAGCUGGCUGCAACUGUUUAUUAAAAACACAGCACUGUGCAAACACGAAAGUGGACGUAUACGGUGUGACGCCUGCCCGGUGCCGGAAGGUUAAUUGAUGGGGUCAGCGCAAGCGAAGCUCCUGAUCGAAGCCCCGGUAAACGGCGGCCGUAACUAUAACGGUCCUAAGGUAGCGAAAUUCCUUGUCGGGUAAGUUCCGACCUGCACGAAUGGCGUAAUGAUGGCCAGGCUGUCUCCACCCGAGACUCAGUGAAAUUGAACUCGCUGUGAAGAUGCAGUGUACCCGCGGCAAGACGGAAAGACCCCGUGAACCUUUACUAUAGCUUGACACUGAACAUUGAGCCUUGAUGUGUAGGAUAGGUGGGAGGCUUUGAAGUGUGGACGCCAGUCUGCAUGGAGCCGACCUUGAAAUACCACCCUUUAAUGUUU